ACACUUCACCAGCUUGGAGCAGGCGGCGUAUCAACCUUUGUGGUUGGUCAUUUGCAUCCGCGCGUGCAGCAGGGUGCUUUGGGUGUGGCAGUCGGGGGCGCCCUGCAGCACUUGGCUGUUUUUUUGGGGUGUGGCUCGUCUUCGUGCCCUUGUUGCCUGGUGCAUGGUUGCCUGGCGCCCGCCCUGCUGUGAUGCCCUGUGAGUGCUGAUCCUGGGCAGCUAUGCAGUUGCUGGGUGAUCCUGGUCGGUUCCGCCUGGUGUCUCAGCGCAGCCAAGACACCAGGGGCCAACGCCAGCCAUACAGCACACCCACACACAGCGCGGCCACAGCAGCACAUGCCGUGCCGUGUGGGGGGCCUGCCUUUGGGCAUCGCCGCCCACUGCCAGGCUUGGCAGCGGACAGCACCCCUGCUGGUGGGGGCAACGCUGCCAGCCCGUUCUUCAGCCCCGGGCUGCAGCUCCACCUUGCCCUGUCCACGCAUAGCCUGGCGCACGGAGUGCAGGACCUGACGACGCAGCCUCAGGGCCCCAGCCUGCCUACCUACCCAGUCCUUCUGGUGGGUGCCACCACGGGGCUCCCAGAGGGCGAGCAGCUGUCCUCAGCCAGCGUCCGGGAAGUGACCAGUGCUGCCCUGUCAGUGCUGGACACCAUGUGCCGGCAGGGCAACCAGCCGCAGCUCUUGCAGGGCCACUCUCUGCACAGCACAGGCCACCCCUCCCGCACGCUUGCGGGGCUGGCCUUCAGCCGGCGCGCGACCAGCGCCAGCAAAGCAGCCUUCACAGCGGAGCUCAUGCGCAAGUCGCCGCUGGCGGUACCACUCCAGCGCGGUCAGGCUGUCCUCACGGUUCACGUGCCAGUGGACACCCGGCCCAUCAUUCCGGGCACCUACACCGUCACGGUCAAGAUGGUAGGGGGCCCUGUGUGGGGGGCUUUCCGUGGUCGCACCGAUUUGGUGCUGCAGGCGGGUGGCUAUCCCACCACCUCGGACCCCUCUAACCUGACAUGUGCUUAUGUGGUCUCAGAGCAGUGCGCCAAAUCGGUGGGCCCCAAGGGGGAGCCCCAGGCCCCCGCAGGCCAGGGCAUCACCAACCACAUCUUUGCCUGUGUGCGGGGCCCCAUCUGGGACCCGCAGCUCUCUCACCUGCACUGUGCCAAGUUUGAGAUGCCCGGUGAGGAGCCCAUGCAGGUGGAGGUCCGUGGCGCCCCCCAGGCGGCUGGGACGGCCACGACAGCUGUGGCAGGCAGCCCUGCUCCGGCUGCAGCCGGGGUCGCCGACCUGGGUGGCAACACCUUGGGUGUGGCGAGGCCCGCGGCUGCCAUGGCGACCGCAGCGGACAUUGUUGACCACGUGGGGGACGUGCAGAUGCAGGAGGCGGCGGGUUUGGGUGACGCGGCGGCUGCAGCUGGUGGCGCCAGCGGGCCACACAGCGGGGCCCUGCCCCCGCUGCCAGUUCUGGUGGCGGGGGGAAGCAACCGUGCUGCUGCAGCUGCCCUGCGGGCCGCGCUGCAGCAGCAGCCCUCUUCACAGCAGCGGGUGACAGCGGGAGGGCUUAGCGGGGUCCAGCCGGCGGCAUGUGUGGGGGGGCCGCUGGCGGCCGGGCCUCGCCCUGCCGGUGCUGGGCCGGCUGGCGUGCAGCAGCAGCCCAGUGGGGCUCCCGCGCCACUGCCACCCUUGGAUCAGCGGGCAGCCGCCGGGCAGGAUCAGGAGCAGACUGCUGUGAUGCGGCGGUACUUGGCCGAGCUGGCGGACCUCAAUCUUCAGCGGCAACAGCGGUUACAGCAGCAGCAGCAGCAGGAGCUGCAGCGCCAGGGGCAGUCACCCAGGCCCCGGACCGGCUCCCAGGUUAUGGUCCUGGCCACGCUGGGGGGACAGGACGGGGCGGGCGGUGGCGCUGGCAGGGCGGCGUCACGGCGUGGGCAACGUGUUGACGUAGUUGACCACAUGGGGGACGUUCAGAUGCAGGAGGCGGCGGGUUUGGGUGACGCAGCGGCUGCCGCGGGUGGCGUCAGCGGACCACCCGCUGUGGCCUCGCCCUCGCUGCUAGCUCUGAUGGCGGGGGGAAGCACCCGGGCUGCUGCGGCUCCCCUGAGGGCCGAGCGGCAGCAGCAUCCCUCUUCACAGCAGCGGGUGGCAGCGGGAGGGCUUAGCGGGGGGCAGCCGUCAGCAGGCGUGGGGGGGCCGCCGGCGGCCAGGCGUCGCACGGCCGAUGCUGGGCCGGCUGGCGUGCAGCAGCAGCCCAGUGGGGCUCCCGCGCCGCAGCUGCCCUUUGAUCAGCGGGCAGCCGCCAGGCAGGAUCAGCAGCUGACAGCUGCGAUGCAGCGGUACUUGGCCCACAAGGCGGACCUCCAUCUCCAGCAGCAACGGCGGGUACAGCAACAGCAGCAGCAGGAGCAGCAGUGCCAGGUGCAGCCGCCCAGGCCCCGGACCGGCUCCCGGUUUGAGGUGUUGGCCACGCUGGGGGGACAGGACGGGGCGGGCGAUGGCGCUGCCACGGCGGCGCCCGGGCGUGGGCGACGGGUGCAACCAGCCGCGCACGCACCGCCACCGCCGCCGCAGCAACAGCCCCGCUCCAAAGGGCGCGGUGGCCCCGCCCAGCUCCCGCAGCAGAGGGCAGGGCGCUUGGGCGGCGGGCUGCCUCCCCCGCAGGACGGUGCUAGCUCGCCGCCGCGCGUGCCCACUGGGCGGCCGGCCGGGGGACAGCAGGCUGGUGGGGGCAGCGGGUCGGGGCGCCAGGGUGGAGGAGCGGGACAGGCAGUGCCCCAGCCGCCGCCCCAGGCGCGGCCGCCACUGCAGACGUCACAACCGGCGGGUGGUGGUAAGGGCAGGGGCAGGGGCCUGGGCGCGCCGGCUGGGGUUUCGGCCGACACGGCUGGGCGCGCGGGUGGGGGUGCGGGCAGUGAGGCGGAGUACGGGGCCGUUAGCCUGACCCGGGACAUGUGUGUUGCCAUCGGCUCUGACCUCGUGACGCACCAGAACCGCUGCGCAGAUGUGCAGGGGUAUGAGUGGGUGCAGCUGGGCCACGACACGCUUGGUGGCCGCCUCCUCGCCUACCUCCGUGACCAGGGCGCCACCGUACCGGACUGGGCCGUCUGCCGCGUGCCGGCUGGCCGUACCGCCGUCCUGGCACAGCUGCACGACGAGUUCACUGGCUGGUGGCGCCUAUACUCAGCCCAGCCUGCAGACACGCCCCUGCCCUCUGAUGUGACGGAGCAGCUGGAUGACGCCGCGCAGCAGGUGCAGACGGCCUACAUGGACUACGUGCUCCUAGACGCCCGCACCCUGCGGUCCGCUAAGCGUGGGCUGGCGGACCCCGGCGGGGCCAGCGGACCCAGCCGCCGGCAACGCCAGCACCGCAGCCGCAGUACCUCCAGCCUCAUGAGCCUGGGCAGCGCUCCGUUGCACCCCGGCGGCGCCAGCUCAGGUGCCGCUAGCAUGAGCACCAGCAGCGGCGGCGCGCCCCCCAGCCAGGGUGGCGACCGCCGCAGCAAACGCCACAGCAGCAACAGCAACCGCACCCGCCACGGCGCUGCCGUGGCCGGCGGGGGCUCAUAAUGCGGCCACCAGUGGGAGCGGCGAACCUUCGGCUGCUGACAGUGAAUGUCAACGGCCUGGGCUCGCCGCUCAAGGCGCGGGCGCUGGUCUCGCACCUGCAGCAAGUUGGGGCGGAUGUGGCGAUGGUGCAGGAGACCCACGCUACUGACACGACGGUGCUGGAGUCUUGCCUUCGUGCCGCGCAGGGGGCGUGCCUUCCGUGGCGCCACUGCCUUGCUGCCAGCCCGGCAGCGUCGCCCCACUCCUGUGGGACGGCUAUCCUGGCGCGGAGUCGGCUGUCCCUUCCAGGCUGCGUACUGCAGCCGCCGUCAACGGAUGCGGCGGGCCGUGUGGUAUGUUGGGAUUGGGACGUGGGUCACCUGCGCCUGCGCUUCGUGUGUGUGUAUGCGCCCACGGCCGUGGCGGACAAGCCUGCUUUCUUUGCCGGGCUGCAUACCCACCUGGCCUCGGACAGGGUGCUUGUUGUCGGUGGGGACUGGAACUGUGUCACCGAUGCCAGUCAGGAGGCGGCCCCUAGCCCAUCACGUGCUGCAGGUGCCCCGCAACUUGCCAGCCUCCUCGCCCAGUUCAGUCUGGUGGACCCUUGGGCGAGCAAGCGUGGCGGCGCCAAGGGCUACACGCAUCCGGCCACGCCCAAGCCGGCCACUCCCGCACGCCUGGAUCGGUGGUAUGUCAGUGCCGCCGCGGCGCCGUGGGUGGUGGAUGUCGCUCGCACGUAUGGGGCGCCUGGGGACCACAACGGUGUGCUGCUCACCCUGUCCUUGCCCGACCUGCCACAUGCGCACCGGGAGCAGUGGCGCUUCCCCACAUACCUGCUGUUUCACCCCUCGCUGCGUCUGGAGCUCGAGCAGCGCUUGGAGGCGCACGUUGCCGCAAAUCCUGUGACCAGUACAGGUGACGGCGAUUGCACGCAAUGGGAGGCGGACAAGUUCUUCUUGCGGGAGGCCGCCACCAGCAUCCACCGUCGGCAUGCACGCCAGACCCGGGACGGGCUGCAUGGCGUGGUGCUGGCCGCAGACGCGGCCGCUGCCCUGGCCGACCGGCCGGGUGCCAGCGCCGCGCAGCGUCAGGCUGCGGCCAUGGCCAACUUGGCGGUGUGGGAGGAGCGGGCAGCUGCCGCAGCGGCCAGCCACAAUGCCCGCGCUGCACUGAUGGAGGAGCAUGGGGAGCGGGGCACUCGCUGGUUCCAUCGGCAGGCUGACGAGCCAGCAGCCGGCGCGCAGGAGCCCAUCACGCACUUGAAGGUGCCGGGGCAACCGGCGCCUGUGGCGCUCACGGGGCCGGGCACGCGCAACACUGUCUCCGCAGCCGCUGCAGCCAUGUACAGCAGCACCACUUUACUUUACUUUACUUUACUUUACUCUCUUCUCUUGCUAUUCUUGCAUCCUCUUUUCCUUCUGCACAGCUUUGAAACAGUCGACGUCAUUUCUCUCGCGCUGUUUGACUUGCUUCCUUUUGUUUUAGGCUUCUUAAGGCCUACGAACCACUGUGAAGCAGUUUGCAUUUGUGGGCGUCCUCGUUUUUCGUCAGUCCACUUUGCAGCUGUAGCGCGACACUCCCUCUCCAGCGCCCUUCAGCCUAUGCCGGCUUGUGCUUUGGAACUCGACACCGCUAUGGAAUAGGAUUCUGGCGGUCCAGGAGCGUCGCCGUGGAGUUGGCGACAUUUCGCUUGUCAGCAUUUUAACAUCUCGGCGAGCACCACACUUCACCAGCUUGGAGCAGGCGGCGUAUCAACCUUUGUGGUUGGUCAUUUGCAUCCGCGCGUGCAGCAGGGUGCUUUGGGUGUGGCAGUCGGGGGCGCCCUGCAGCACUUGGCUGUUUUUUUGGGGUGUGGCUCGUCUUCGUGCCCUUGUUGCCUGGUGCAUGGUUGCCUGGCGCCCGCCCUGCUGUGAUGCCCUGUGAGUGCU
rnacentral:lncRNA from 1 species